rnacentral:rRNA from 1 species
AACGAACGCUGGCGGCGCGUUUUAAGCAUGCAAGUCGAACGGUAGUACAAAGCUUGCUUUGUAUGAGAGUGGCGAACGGGUGAGUAACACGUGAGUGAUCUGCCUUGAGAUUGGGGAUAGCCCAUGGAAACAUGGGGUAAUACCGAAUAAGCUCAAGAACUUUGAAUGGUUUUUGAGGAAAAGAGCUACGGCUCUGUCUCUGGAUGAGCUCGCGGUCCAUUAGCUUGUUGGUGGGGUAAAGGCCUACCAAGGCGACGAUGGAUAGCCGGCCUGAGAGGGUGACCGGCCACAUUGGGACUGAGACACGGCCCAGACUCCUACGGGAGGCAGCAGCUAAGAAUCUUCCGCAAUGGGCGAAAGCCUGACGGAGCGACGCCGCGUGAACGAUGAAGGCAGAGAUGUUGUAAAAGUUCUUUUUUCCUAAGGAGGAAUAAGAGAUAGAGGGAAUGCUAUCUCGAUGACGUUAAUUAGGGAA